rnacentral:rRNA from 1 species
AACGAACGCUGGCGGCAUGCUUAACACAUGCAAGUCGAACGAAAAGGCCCUGCUUGCAGGGGACUCGAGGGGCGAACGGGUGAGUAACACGUUUUUGAUCUGCCCUGCACUUCGGGAUAAGCCUUAAAAACUGGGUCUAAUACCGGACCAAAGCCAUAUCUCGAGUGGUGGUGGGCGAGUUUGUUAGGUGUGGGAUGAGCGCGCGGCCUAUCAGCUUGGUGGUGGGGUAACGGCCUACCAAGGCGGCGACGGGUAGCCGGCCUGAGAGGGUGGCCGGCCACAGUGGGACUGGGAUACGGCCCAGACUCCGACGGGAGGGAGAGGUGGGGAAGAUGGAACAAGGGGAGCAAGCCUGAUGCAGCGACGCCGCGUGGGGGAGGACGGUCAUGGGGUUGGAAACGCAUUGCGCUAGGGACGAAGCAUUUUGUGACGGUACCUAGAGAAGAAGCCCCGGCUAACUACGUG